CGUAGGGCGCGAGCGUUGUCCGGAUUUAUUGGGCGUAAAGAGCUCGUAGGCGGCUUGUUGCGUCGACUGUGAAAACCUGCGGCUCAACCGUGUGGUCUGCAGUCGAUACGGGCAGGCUGGAGUUCGGUAGGGGAGACUGGAAUUCCUGGUGUAGCGGUGAAAUGCGCAGAUAUCAGGAGGAACACCGGUGGCGAAGGCGGGUCUCUGGGCCGAUACUGACGCUGAGGAGCGAAAGCGUGGGGAGCGAACAGGAUUAGAUACCCUGGUAGUCCACGCUGUAAACGUUGGGCGCUAGGUGUGGGGGGCCUCUCCGGUUCCCUGUGCCGCAGCUAACGCAUUAAGCGCCCCGCCUGGGGAGUACGGCCGCAAGGCUA
rnacentral:rRNA from 1 species